UCCUGCCAGGGCUCUGCCCCACUGCCCAGGCUCUGUCCAGCCCUGUGACCAUCCUGACACCUGUCUGUCCAUCUGUCUGUCUGCACGGCUGGGCAGUUCUGCACGUCCAAUGAGCUGGAGUACCUGGUGGGGCGUGUCUGGAUCGGCUUUUGGCUCAUCCUCAUUGUGCUGGUCAUGGUGGCCUUUGAGGGCAGCUUCCUGGUGCGUUUCGUCUCCCGCUUCACCCAGGAGAUCUUUGCCUUUCUCAUCUCCCUCAUCUUCAUCUACGAGACCUUUUCCAAGCUGGCCAAGAUCUUCCAGGAGCACCCUCUGCAUGGCUGCCUGAGCAUCAACAGCUCGGCCGAGGCCUGGGGCAAUGGCACUGUGGCCAUGGCCAACACCACAGCCCUGGCCAACAGCCCGGCUGCCCGCGGUGCCACCAAGGUCACGGGGCAGCCCAACACGGCGCUGCUCUCACUCGUGCUCAUGGCUGGCACCUUCUUCAUCGCCUUCUUCCUGCGCAAGUUCAAGAACAGCCGCUUCUUCCCCGGACGGAUCCGGAGGCUCAUCGGGGACUUUGGGGUGCCCAUUGCCAUCCUGGUGAUGGUGCUGGUGGACUACAGCAUCCAGGACACCUACACACAGAAGCUGAGUGUGCCCAGUGGGUUCUCGGUGACAGCCCCAGACAAGCGGGGUUGGGUGAUCAACCCGCUGGGUGUGCACAGUGCCUUCCCCGUGUGGAUGAUGGUGGCCAGCGGCCUCCCCGCCAUCCUUGUCUUCAUCCUCAUCUUCAUGGAGACCCAGAUCACCACGCUGAUCAUCAGCAAGAAGGAGCGGANUGCCACGGCCCCUGGCCUGCCUGUGCCCUGUAAGGGCCCUGACCCUGUCCCCCACUCUGCCCCACAGAGGGAGGUCCUCACCCCCACACCCCCGGCCGGCAUCACUCGCUCCAAGUCAAAGCACGAGCUGAAGCUGCUGGAGAAGAUCCCGGACAACGCUGAGGCCACAGUGGUGCUCGUGGGCUGUGUGGAGUUCCUGGACCAGCCCACCAUGGCCUUUGUGCGGCUGCAGGAGGCUGUGGAGCUGGACGCAGUGCUGGAGGUGCCCGUGCCUGUGCGGUUCCUCUUCGUGCUGCUGGGCCCCAGCAGCACCCACAUGGACUAUCACGAGAUUGGGCGCUCCAUCUCCACACUCAUGUCUGACAAGCAAUUCCAUGAGGCUGCCUACCUGGCCGACGACCGUCACGACCUUCUGAAUGCCAUCAACGAGUUCCUGGACUGCAGCGUGGUGCUGCCGCCCUCCGAGGUGCAGGGCGAGGAGCUGCUGCGCAGUGUCGCCCACUUCCAGCGCGAGAUGCUGAAGAAGAGGAUGGAGCAGGAGCGGAGGCUGCUGCUGGAGCCCAAGUCCCCUGAGGAGAAAGGUGCCAGGGCUGGGGCCAGGGCGGGGUUUGGGGUGUGCCAGCUGUUGGGGUCUCACUGUCUGUCUGUGCAUCCGCUCGCCCCCAGCUCUGCUGAAGCUGAAGGUGGUGGAGGACGAGGCCGAGGAGGACGACGACCCCCUGAGGCGCACGGGCC
ensembl:lncRNA